rnacentral:rRNA from 1 species
CAAGUCGAGCGGGCGUAGCAAUACGUCAGCGGCAGACGGGUGAGUAACGCGUGGGAACGUACCUUUUGGUUCGGAACAACACAGGGAAACUUGUGCUAAUACCGGAUAAGCCCUUACGGGGAAAGAUUUAUCGCCGAAAGAUCGGCCCGCGUCUGAUUAGCUAGUUGGUGAGGUAAUGGCUCACCAAGGCGACGAUCAGUAGCUGGUCUGAGAGGAUGAUCAGCCACAUUGGGACUGAGACACGGCCCAAACUCCUACGGGAGGCAGCAGUGGGGAAUAUUGGACAAUGGGCGCAAGCCUGAUCCAGCCAUGCCGCGUGAGUGAUGAAGGCCCUAGGGUUGUAAAGCUCUUUUGUGCGGGAAGAUAAUGACGGUACCGCAAGAAUAAGCCCCGGCUAACUUCGUGCCAGCAGCCGCGGUAAUACGAAGGGGGCUAGCGUUGCUCGGAAUCACUGGGCGUAAAGGGUGCGUAGGCGGGUCUUUAAGUCAGGGGUGAAAUCCUGGAGCUCAACUCCAGAACUGCCUUUGAUACUGAGGAUCUUGAGUUCGGGAGAGGUGAGUGGAACUGCGAGUGUAGAGGUGAAAUUCGUAGAUAUUCGCAAGAACACCAGUGGCGAAGGCGGCUCACUGGCCCGAUACUGACGCUGAGGCACGAAAGCGUGGGGAGCAAACAGGAUUAGAUACCCUGGUAGUCCACGCCGUAAACGAUGAAUGCCAGCCGUUAGUGGGUUUACUCACUAGUGGCGCAGCUAACGCUUUAAGCAUUCCGCCUGGGGAGUACGGUCGCAGAUUAAACUCAAAGGAAUUGACGGGGGCCCGCACAACCGUGGAGCAUGUGUUUAAUUCGACCCAC